rnacentral:sRNA from 1 species
GCUAGGUGUGGUGAUGCACACCUGUAAUUCCAGUGACUGGGAGGUUGAGGCAGGAGGAUCUAGAGUUCAAAGCCAGUCUCAACAACUUAGUGAGGCCCUAAGCAAUUUAGUGAGACCCUGCCUCUA